rnacentral:rRNA from 1 species
AACGAACGUUAGCGGCGCGCCUAACACAUGCAAGUCGAGCGAGAAGGGAGCAAUCCCAGUAAAGCGGCGCACGGGUGAGUAACACGUAGGUAAUCUACCUCGAGGUGGUGGAUAACCUUCCGAAAGGAGGGCUAAUACAGCAUGAGACCACGUUCUCGAAAGAGGAUGAGGUAAAAGCGGGCCUCUAUACAUAAGCCCGCGCCACGAGAUGAGCCUGCGGCCCAUCAUGGUAGUUGGUAGGGUAACGGCCUACCAAGCCGAAGACGGGUAGCUGGUCUGAGAGGAUGAUCAGCCACACUGGAACUGAGACACGGUCCAGACUCCUACGGGAGGCAGCAGUGGGGAAUCUUGCGCAAUGGGCGAAAGCCUGACGCAGCGACGCCGCGUGAGUGAUGAAGGCCUUCGGGUUGUAAAGCUCUGUGGAGGGGGACGAAUAAGGGUUGGCUAACAUCCAGCCCGAUGACGGUACCCCUUUAGCAAGCACCGGCUAACUCUGUGCCAGCAGCCGCAGUAACAC